CUCUGCAGCAUUACACUGUACAGAGAUAAUACCAGCAAUGGUACAAUGAGAAACUCAGUACCACAGAGUCCAUAAGAGAAGCAAAAGGUACAUAUGAGAAGGGAGAAAUUUCUUGCCAGCCCUCUGAGGUGAUCUUAGAGGUCUUUUCCCCUCUUAAUGAUUCUGUGAUUGGUAUCCACUCCCCCGCUCUCUUUCCAGAAAUAGCCUAUUUCGAUUUAUUUGCUUGUUGAGGUUAACUUUUUCAGGUGUGUGGAGGGGCUUCGUUCCUCUCUGCUAAGGGAACACUUUCUUUCCAAACAACUGAAAUGUUCAGCCAGUUAGCUAUAAAAGUGAAAACCAGCUGGAGGUUCUUUCCAUCAGCAGGUAUGAUAAUUGGUGUUAGCUGAGAAACAUGUGGGCUGCUUGGAGCUGUUAAACCAGCUGAAGUGUGUUUGAGCAGAGUAAGAUCAGAAGUAGUUUUCUUGAAAGGAAUCAGCUGGAAACAGAUACUUAAAGCCUAACUUCUUUGAUGUCUUUUUUUCUGGGAGGCCAGAGGAUUUCCUGACAGGCUGAAAACCCAAACAUCACUAGUAGGGGAGUACCUACCUGGCUUCUGACUUGCUGAGUUGAGAACUUGCUGAAGACUGUAUGAAUCCAAGUACAAGUCCAGGCUGAGAGGCAUUUGGUUCUGCUCUGAAAACUGAGUAAUACCAGACAAGCAAGGGAAGGGGUGUCAUACCUUCCUCUGUGCUGCAGUUCUCUGUGGAGGUGUGGUGCCUUUUUGAAGAACUCUGGAGAACUCUGGAAAUGAAAAAAAGAAAGUAAGUUCUAGAUAAUUUUGCAGCUUUUGUAGCUAUGUAAUACGAUGAGACUUGAGCCUUAUUUAGUGUCAGGGCUAAAACUGGUGCUGUGAACAUCCCGCAGAGAAACUUCUUGAUGUAGUGUCUUAUUUCUGCUGCUCUGUGUAUACAGGGUACUAGCUCAUGGUUUUAAUGGAAUCCUCCUUUGUAAUAACCCAUUCUACACAAAUGUAUUUAAAGGAGAAAAGUAGGGGAGCCAUGAACUUCCUGUGGAUUGGGGGAUGCUUAAGGUGCUCUAUCUACCUUGUCAUCUUCCCGAUGAUGCUGAGACUCAAAUAGUCACCUCUACAGUGUUGGCUGUUGGGAAACAUGCUUGAAGAUGGAUUUAUAAAAUGUGUCUUUAAUUUCU